CAGCAGCCACGGGAAUACGUAGGUGGCAAGCGUUGUCCGGAAUUAUUGGGCGUAAAGGGCUCGCAGGCGGUUUCUUAAGUCUGAUGUGAAAGCCCCCGGCUCAACCGGGGAGGGUCAUUGGAAACUGGGAAACUUGAGUACAGAAGAGGAGAGUGGAAUUCCACGUGUAGCGGUGAAAUGCGUAGAGAUGUGGAGGAACACCAGUGGCGAAGGCGACUCUCUGGUCUGUAACUGACGCUGAGGAGCGAAAGCGUGGGGAGCGAACAGGAUUAGAUACCCCAGUAGUCCCUGUCUCUUAUAC
rnacentral:rRNA from 1 species